CUGGGGGCCCUCCAGAGUCGGGCUGGAGGCAGAGGCUGUGCCGAGCCGCACUCGCUGCUCAGCUUUUCAGUCUGGGUCUGAGCUGAAACCUGCUGCAAGUCUGACGGUACCAAAUUACAUAUAUAUCUGUCAAAAUGAUGUAGGACCUAAAGUCUCUCUGUAAGUUGAUCCUUUUGACCCCAUGAUUAGGAGCUUCACAAUGUGGUACCACACCUGGAAACCUCCAGAACAAGAUCUCAAGGAAACACAGGAAAUUCCUGAAACAGCAAAACCCCCUAUGUGAAGACGUCUGUUAUUCCUUUGUGUAUCAGGAGCAUCACUGUUAAUUAACUGUUGAUACACUUAAAACAGCUUGGUUGGCAAUGUCCUUUUUGAAUAAAGAAGAGCCAGGUGUGUUUUUCAGGAUGAACUAGACAAUGCUGUCACAAGUUUACCUCUACAUCUUAUUGCCUUGGAAAAAUUUCCUGCAUAUCGUGGCACAAGAUGGUUGGCUCUCCAGGCAGCAGUUGGCGUUGUGAAUCAGUCAUCUCAGCAUGUGUCUCCAAGAUCCCACAGCAGGGGGAAAAAGAGGUGGAGGGUCACAUGCCUGGUGUUACAUACUUUGAGGCAGAGGUGGUAGGUGCCAUUUCUGCUCACAGCUCAUGGACCAGAACAAAGCCAUGCAUACCUGAGAGAGGACCAGAAAAUAUUCUGAAGCAGAUGGCUAUUUGGUGAGCAGUAAAUGUUUCUGUUACAACAGGUCUUGACAAACUUCAAAUGUACUCCUACUAGGCCUACUUCACACCACUAAACUCUGUACUUCCUGUUGCUUGAUGGCAUCUUAUGCUGAUGUUUUCUAUCAUAGUGUCCGGCACAAAACAAGAGCUCAAUACAUAUACUUAAUAGCGCAUUUAGAUCUAAGAGUUUCACUUUAUCAAAAGAUUUUAGUACCUACGUAGCUAUUGGGCCACAUCAGGAAAAUGUAACUGCUUCUACAACUGCAAAGAAAAUUUAACUAAUUGUAUGCUCAUCCCAGCUUCAGGUUUUUGUUUUGUUUUGUUUGCUAGCUUCUUUUUAUUUCAUAAUUUUUGCUUUGUUUUCUGCCCUUGAGCAGAGGUUCAUUUCUAGUUUUCACUGGAAUUAGAACAACAGUUGUGUCCAUAUGCAAUAACAGUGUUUCAAAUUCUUUGGGGAUUUGCCCACAGUGUCUGCAGUCAUAUUGUGACACCAGUUGUGAUGCCAGUCUCUGUAAAUCAGACUUAUUCCCAGUGAGACAUUAUAUAUUUUUGCAGCCAAUACGAUCUAUUUUAUAGCGAUUUAUAGCAUUGUCUCUGAAAAGGAUACUUUGAUUUGUGUCUUGUUUUUGUCAGUUUUCAACACUUUGAUUGUGGCCCAGGUUAAUUAAUAUUUUGUGUCUAGGUUUCCUCAUCUCUAAAAUAAAGAUGUUUAUUUCUAUAGCUUCAUGUUGACAAUUAAAUUAUAUAAUUUAUGUUACUCAACUAGCAAGUAAAUUGAUGUACAGUGUAUUUAUAAAUGAUAGAUACUAUCUUUAUGUUAAUUUUUAUUAUUGUCAUCAUUAUCAUCAAUUUUCAGGUCCGUGUUCUGACUAAAAGGAAGCCACACUCUGUCGAAAACAAGCUUUGUAAGAAAAUUUUGAAGUAUUUACUUAUAUCUAACCAUUCAUUCCACCUUUUCUCCCAAAUAACACUCUAAUAUCUUGAGACAUCUUGUCUAGGGCCAGAUUUCAUAAAUGCUUGUGAGGCAGGAGAAUAAGUUCCAGAGGCAGUUCACACUGCCUAAAGCCAAUUCACACUGACUUCCUAUAACUAAAUCUAAAGGAAAAUCUCAACUUUCCUCGCCCAAGUAACAAAAGAAUCAGAGGUUAUACUCCCUUUGCAACCUGCCCCUUUUCUGCCUGGCAGAUGAAAAAUGAAAAGUACCUAUGACUGGUCCCCUCCCACGACCAGCCAGACUGGUCACGGAUCACUACUUCAUUUACAUAGGGCGUAAACCGAGUAACCAAUGGGAAACCUCUAGAGGGUAUUUAAACCCCAGAAAAUUCUGUAACCGGUGGUCUCCAGCAGGUUGCUCAAUCUUGCUGCCACUCUGUGGGAUGUACUUUUGUUUCAAUAAAUCUGUGCUCUUCCUUC
rnacentral:lncRNA from 1 species